rnacentral:rRNA from 1 species
UACGGAGGGUGCAAGCGUUAAUCGGAAUUACUGGGCGUAAAGCGCACGCAGGCGGUUUGUUAAGUCAGAUGUGAAAUCCCCGAGCUUAACUUGGGAACUGCAUUUGAAACUGGCAAGCUAGAGUCUUGUAGAGGGGGGUAGAAUUCCGGGUGUAGCGGUGAAAUGCGUAGAGAUCUGGAGGAAUACCGGUGGCGAAGGCAGCCCCCUGGACAAAGACUGACGCUCAGGUGCGAAAGCGUGGGGAGCAAACAGG